rnacentral:rRNA from 1 species
UACGUAGGUGGCAAGCGUUGUCCGGAAUUAUUGGGCGUAAAGCGCGCGCAGGCGGUUUCUUAAGUCUGAUGUGAAAGCCCACGGCUUAACCGUGGAAGGUCAUUGGAAACUGGGAGACUUGAGUGCAGAAGAGAAGAGCGGAAUUCCACGUGUAGCGGUGAAAUGCGUAGAGAUGUGGGAGAACACCUAGUGGCGAAGGCGGCUCUUUGGUCUGUAACUGACGCUGAGGCGCGAAAGCGUGGGGACU